rnacentral:rRNA from 1 species
GGCGAAAAGAACCCCGGCGAGGGGAGUGAAAAAGAACCUGAAACCGUGUACGUACAAGCAGUGGGAGCACAGAGCAAUCUGUGUGACUGCGUACCUUUUGUAUAAUGGGUCAGCGACUUAUAUUCUGUAGCAAGGUUAACCGAAUAGGGGAGCCGAAGGGAAACCGAGUCUUAACUGGGCGUUAAGUUGCAGGGUAUAGACCCGAAACCCGGUGAUCUAGCCAUGGGCAGGUUGAAGGUUGGGUAACACUAACUGGAGGACCGAACCGACUAAUGUUGAAAAAUUAGCGGAUGACUUGUGGCUGGGGGUGAAAGGCCAAUCAAACCGGGAGAUAGCUGGUUCUCCCCGAAAGCUAUUUAGGUAGCGCCUCGUGAAUUCAUCUCCGGGGGUAGAGCACUGUUUCGGCAAGGGGGUCAUCCCGACUUACCAACCCGAUGCAAACUGCGAAUACCGGAGAAUGUUAUCACGGGAGACACACGGCGGGUGCUAACGUCCGUCGUGAAGAGGGAAACAACCCAGACCGCCAGCUAAGGUCCCAAAGUCAUGGUUAAGUGGGAAACGAUGUGGGAAGGCCCAGACAGCCAGGAUGUUGGCUUAGAAGCAGCCAUCAUUUAAAGAAAGCGUAAUAGCUCACUGGUCGAGUCGGCCUGCGCGGAAGAUGUAACGGGGCUAAACCAUG